rnacentral:rRNA from 1 species
UGCAGUCGAGCGGGGAAAGGUAGCUUGCUACUUUACCUAGCGGCGGACGGGUGAGUAAUGCUUAGGAAUCUGCCUAUUAGUGGGGGACAACAUCUCGAAAGGGAUGCUAAUACCGCAUACGUCCUACGGGAGAAAGCAGGGGACCUUCGGGCCUUGCGCUAAUAGAUGAGCCUAAGUCGGAUUAGCUAGUUGGUGGGGUAAAGGCCUACCAAGGCGACGAUCUGUAGCGGGUCUGAGAGGAUGAUCCGCCACACUGGGACUGAGACACCGGCCCAGACUCCUACGGGAGGCAGCAGUGGGGAAUAUUGGACAAUGGGGGGAACCCUGAUCCAGCCAUGCCGCGUGUGUGAAGAAGGCCUUUUGGUUGUAAAGCACCUUAAGCGAGGAGGAGGCUACCGAGAUUAAUACUCUUGGAUAGUGGACGUUACUCGCAGAAUAAGCACCGGCUAACUCUGUGCCAGCAGCCGCGGUAAUACAGAGGGUGCAAGCGUUAAUCGGAUUUACUGGGCGUAAAGCGCGCGUAGGUGGCCAAUUAAGUCAAAUGUGAAAUCCCCGAGCUUAACUUGGGAAUUGCAUUCGAUACUGGUUGGCUAGAGUAUGGGAGAGGAUGGUAGAAUUCCAGGUGUAGCGGUGAAAUGCGUAGAGAUCUGGAGGAAUACCGAUGGCGAAGGCAGCCAUCUGGCCUAAUACUGACACUGAGGUGCGAAAGCAUGGGGAGCAAACAGGAUUAGAUACCCUGGUAGUCCAUGCCGUAAACGAUGUCUACUAGCCGUUGGGGCCUUUGAGGCUUUAGUGGCGCAGCUAACGCGAUAAGUAGACCGCCUGGGGAGUACGGUCGCAAGACUAAAACUCAAAUGAAUUGACGGGGGCCCGCACAAGCGGUGGAGCAUGUGGUUUAAUUCGAUGCAACGCGAAGAACCUUACCUGGUCUUGACAUAGUAAGAACUUUCCAGAGAUGGAUUGGUGCCUUCGGGAACUUACAUACAGGUGCUGCAUGGCUGUCGUCAGCUCGUGUCGUGAGAUGUUGGGGUUAAGUCCCGCAACGAGCGCAACCCUUUUCCUUAUUUGCCAGCGGGUUAAGCCGGGAACUUUAAGGAUACUGCCAGUGACAAACUGGAGGAAGGCGGGGACGACGUCAAGUCAUCAUGGCCCUUACGACCAGGGCUACACACGUGCUACAAUGGUCGGUACAAAGGGUUGCUACCUCGCGAGAGGAUGCUAAUCUCAAAAAGCCGAUCGUAGUCCGGAUUGGAGUCUGCAACUCGACUCCAUGAAGUCGGAAUCGCUAGUAAUCGCGGAUCAGAAUGCCGCGGUGAAUACGUUCCCGGGCCUUGU